UACGUAGGUGGCAAGCGUUGUCCGGAUUUACUGGGUGUAAAGGGCGUGUAGCCGGGCUGACAAGUCAGAUGUGAAAUCCGGGGGCUCAACCCCCGAACUGCAUUUGAAACUGUUGGUCUUGAGUAUCGGAGAGGCAGGCGGAAUUCCUAGUGUAGCGGUGAAAUGCGUAGAUAUUAGGAGGAACACCAGUGGCGAAGGCGGUCUGCUGGACGACAACUGACGGUGAGGCGCGAAAGCGUGGGGAGCAAACAGG
rnacentral:rRNA from 1 species